AGCGAACGCUGGCGGCAGGCUUAACACAUGCAAGUCGAGCGGGCACUUCGGUGUCAGCGGCAGACGGGUGAGUAACACGUGGGAACGUACCCUUUGGUUCGGAAUAACGCUGGGAAACUAGCGCUAAUACCGGAUACGCCCUUUUGGGGAAAGGCUUGCUGCCGAAGGAUCGGCCCGCGUCUGAUUAGCUAGUUGGUGGGGUAAUGGCCUACCAAGGCGACGAUCAGUAGCUGGUCUGAGAGGAUGAUCAGCCACACUGGGACUGAGACACGGCCCAGACUCCUACGGGAGGCAGCAGUGGGGAAUAUUGGACAAUGGGCGCAAGCCUGAUCCAGCCAUGCCGCGUGAGUGAUGAAGGCCUUAGGGUUGUAAAGCUCUUUUGUCCGGGACGAUAAUGACGGUACCGGAAGAAUAAGCCCUGGCUAACUUCGUG
rnacentral:rRNA from 1 species